rnacentral:misc_RNA from 1 species
UGAAAAUCUUAAGGUUUUGUUUGUUACAAAUGGGACUUCCAAGAUACACUACUACACCGAGGAGCACAAUGGUGCAGUGCAUGGCAUGGAGGAUGCCCCUAUUACUCCUUUCACAUGUGAUAUGUCAGCAUCUGGAGAUGGCAUUGUUGCAGCAAUGUUGAGAAUGUUAUCUGUUCAGCCACACCUCAUUACUGAUAAAGGAUAUUUGGAGCAAACAGUCAAGUAUGCAAU